GCUGGCGGGCUGGCGGGUGUGCGUGCUGCGGGCGCCCGCGCGGCCCGCCGACCCUAACGCUGCAGAGCCUUUCCCGGUUUACUGGGUUCCUGAUUUGCGUUUUCUGAUUAGAGUAGCGUUAGGGAACAUGACUUGAUCCGGCCUUUUGAAGCGUUGCUAAGGGAUUUUUUUCCUGCGAGUUCUUAGGUGAUCCCUCGCGUGACACUUGUUUUUAUGAUGGGAGCAGUUUGUGUGUAUCGUCCAAGCAGCUGAGGUGUCACAACCGCGUAGCAAAAAUAAGCCCUCCGUAUCCCAGCCCAAGAUUUUACUUAUUUAUUCACGAGAGACACAGGCAGAGGGAGAAGCAGGCUCCAUGCCGGGAGCCCGACGUGGGACUCAAUCCCGGGUCUCCAGGAUCACGCCCUGGACUGAAGGCGGCGCUAAACCUCCGAGCCCCCUUCGCCCCCCACCCCCCACCCCUGGCGUCCCUUUGCUGUUGUUUUUUAAGUAAAUUCUACCCCCAAGGUAGAACUGGAACUCAGGACCUCUAGAUCAAGAAUCACAUGCUCCGCACUGAGCCAGCCAGGCGCUCCGCAGAAUAUAUUCCAAACUUCAGAAUACAAGUAGAUAACCCCUUCUCAAAAAGUUUCGGAUCUGAUUUUGGUGGUAUGAAUGCACAAGUUAAAUAAUGCAAAUGCUUGUUAAUCUUAGGCUAAUGAGAGUUCAAAGGCUAAUGAGCAAUUUCAGAUCCUUAAGGAAGCCUCUGCCAGACUUGGAAGCAAACAACAAGUAAGCUGUAAGGAAAUUCUAGUCAGAGGAAAGGAUAUAAGCAGAAGCCUAAUUAUGGAAAAAGCAUACUGAAAAAAAAUUUGAGUAAUGGAAUUAAGGCAGGCUUCUUUCUGUGUUUGGCAAAGAGUUUUUAAAUUUUUGAAGAAUCAAUUAGAGCCUAGGAGAGAGUGGAACAAUUCCUCUGUCUCCCCCGAACCCCCUGCCCAAGAAAAAAAAUCAGGGAGGAAAACCAGUUAUAACUAUAGCAAAAUUUCUAGCUGAAGAUGGUGGAUUAGUGGGUCUGAAUUAUGGUAGAGACCCUGUAUAUGGAAUGGAGAUAAUUAACAAAAGAAUCCUUAAGACAAUUUUAAUGUGACGGAAAAUGCCACUAAAUAGGGAUGUCUCAUCAGAUUUGGACACUGAGAGAAUGAACAACCCAAAUACUUAAUAUGCAAAGAGGCUGAUGUUAGUCCUUUUGUUAAUAAACAGCUUUAACUGGUAACUGCA